rnacentral:rRNA from 1 species
UACGUAGGGGGCAAGCGUUGUCCGGAAUUAUUGGGCGUAAAGAGCGCGUAGGCGGUCCGAUAAGUCGGCUGUGAAAGUCAGGGGCUCAACCCUUGAAAGCCGGCCGAUACUGUCGGACUAGAGUCCGGAAGAGGCGAGUGGAAUUCCUGGUGUAGCGGUGGAAUGCGCAGAUAUCAGGAGGAACACCAAUAGCGAAGGCAGCUCGCUGGGACGGUAUUGACGCUAAGGCGCGAAAGCGUGGGGAGCAAACAGG